rnacentral:rRNA from 1 species
GACGAACGCUGGCGGCGUGCUUAACACAUGCAAGUCGAACGGAAAGGCCCUGCUUUUGUGGGGUGCUCGAGUGGCGAACGGGUGAGUAACACGUGAGUAACCUGCCCUUGACUUUGGGAUAACUUCAGGAAACUGGGGCUAAUACCGGAUAGGAGCUCCUGCUGCAUGGUGGGGGUUGGAAAGUUUCGGCGGUUGGGGGUGGACUCGCGGCUUAUCAGCUUGUUGGUGGGGUAGUGGCUUACCAAGGCUUUGACGGGUAGCCGGCCUGAGAGGGUGACCGGCCACAUUGGGACUGAGAUACGGCCCAGACUCCUACGGGAGGCAGCAGUGGGGAAUAUUGCACAAUGGGCGGAAGCCUGAUGCAGCAACGCCGCGUGCGGGAUGACGGCCUUCGGGUUGUAAACCGCUUUCGCCUGUGACGAAGCGUGAGUGACGGUAAUGGGUAAAGAAGCACCGGCUAACUACGUGCCAGCAGCCGCGGUGAUACGUAGGGUGCGAGCGUUGUCCGGAUUUAUUGGGCGUAAAGGGCUCGUAGGUGGUUGAUCGCGUCGGAAGUGUAAUCUUGGGGCUUAACCCUGAGCGUGCUUUCGAAUACGGGUUGACUUGAGGAAGGUAGGGGAGAAUGGAAUUCCUGGUGGAGCGGUGGAAUGCGCAGAUAUCAGGAGGAACACCAGUGGCGAAGGCGGUUCUCUGGGCCUUUCCUGACGCUGAGGAGCGAAAGCGUGGGGAGCGAACAGGCUUAGAUACCCUGGUAGUCCACGCUGUAAACGGUGGGUACUAGGUGUGGGGUCCAUUCCACGGGUUCCGUGCCGUAGCUAACGCUUUAAGUACCCCGCCUGGGGAGUACGGCCGCAAGGCUAAAACUCAAAGGAAUUGACGGGGCCCCGCACAAGCGGCGGAGCAUGCGGAUUAAUUCGAUGCAACGCGUAGAACCUUACCUGGGUUUGACAUGGAUCGGGAGUGCUCAGAGAUGGGUGUGCCUCUUUUGGGGUCGGUUCACAGGUGGUGCAUGCCUGUCGUCAGCUCGUGUCGUGAGAUGUUGGGUUAAGUCCCGCAACGAGCGCAACCCUUGUUCACUGUUGCCAGCACGUUAUGGUGGGGACUCAGUGGAGACCGCCGGGGUCAACUCGGAGGAAGGUGGGGAUGACGUCAAGUCAUCAUGCCCCUUAUGUCCAGGGCUUCACGCAUGCUACAAUGGCUGGUACAGAGAGUGGCGAGCCUGUGAGGGUGAGCGAAUCUCGGAAAGCCGGUCUCAGUUCGGAUUGGGGUCUGCAACUCGACCUCAUGAAGUCGGAGUCGCUAGUAAUCGCAGAUCAGCAACGCUGCGGUGAAUACGUUCCCGGG